GACGAACGCUGGCGGCGUGCUUAACACAUGCAAGUCGAACGGAAAGGCCUGCUUUCCCUUGUGGAUUGCGGGUACUCGAGUGGCGAACGGGUGAGUAACACGUGAGUGAUCUGCCCCCAACUUGGGUAUAAGCCUGGGAAACUGGGUCUAAUUCCCGAUAGGACUGCAGGGUGGUGCCUGUGGUGGAAAACGAUUUUCUAGUGGUUGGGGAUGAGCUCGCGGCCUAUCAGCUUGUUGGUGGGGUAAUGGCCUACCAAGGCGGCGACGGGUAGCCGGCCGGGGAGGGUGGACGGGGACAUUGGGACUGGGAUACGGCCCAGACGCCGGCGGGAGGCAGCAGUGGGGAAUAAUGGACAAUGGGCGGAAGCCUGAUGCAGCGACGCGGCGAGGGGGAUGACGGCUUGCGGGUUGUAAACUUCUUUCGAGCGCGAGGAAGCCACCUGGUUGGAAGGGUGGUGACGGUAGUGGUAGAAGAAGCACCGGCUAACUACGUG
rnacentral:rRNA from 1 species